ensembl:lncRNA
GCAGCCGGUCCAUCUGAAAGUCAGAGGCAGAGGAGACAACAAACCCCAGCAGAACUUGGCCGAUGGUGAUGACUUCUGCUCAUGCUGUGGAUUCUGAUCAAGUGCUUGAGAGAAAAUGAAAAGCUCUUCUAGAUCAGCGCCAUCUAGAGACAUACUUCAGACUGCAGCGCUUGAAAGAUGUGAUGUCCAAUCAGCAUGCUACAUUAAUGAGGGGAAAAAUUCAAAGACAAAGACAAGAGAUGAAGCUCUAUGAUUCCAGACCUAGAGAAGGACAUAGAGAACAGAUGCCAGUCUCAGUAAGAGUGGGUGGAGGAGGGGUGAACGCUUUCCAACAGCAGGGCAAACAGAGUUUGGGACAAGACGAAACUGAGCUCAUGUUUCUUGAGGUGGAAAACUGUGACGUUAAGAUGUGGAAGAAUUAUACAUAAAAGUGUUGAUCUGUCACUUUAAAACAAGUCAAAGAUGCUGUUAUUUGAUAACUAUUAGAAACUUCCUGCUUAACCCACAAAUGCAUUGUGUAUCACAUUGUUUUAUUCACUUAAUAUUUACUCAACAAAAUUAUAGUCGUUAAAACGAUCUGUUGCACAUAAUAAGUUAUAGGCUAAGUAAAAAGUGUGUGGUUUUAAUCAUUGUCUCUGAAUGGAUGUUAAAACUGAAGCCUGUCUUCAUUUGUUGCUCAGGACACAUAUUUUGGUAUUUAAAUGCUUUAUAAAAAAAAAUAAUUUGAGAAAAGUUUUGUUGUUACUAUGAAAUCAGAAACUUUUACCGGAAGUUUUGUCGCCAAGAUGACGCUAUUUUAUGAACGCCCAUUGUCCUGAAACGCGUCGAGUCGGAUGCCGUUUCCUCCGCUUUUGACACCUCUGGAGGAGAGAGAUUCCCAUGGGCUUUAAACGCAUAAACAUCUAACUUUCAUCAACACCUAGGCAUGGACUUACAUUACACCGCUUGAGUAUCAUUUCUUUUAUUUAUUUAUUAUUAUUUUAUUUUUUGUUUGUAAUAUAUAUAUAUAUAUAUAUAUAUAUAUAUUACAAUGCAUUUAAAUAAUAAUAAUAAUAAUAAUAAUAAUAAUAAUACUUGAUAAAAUAAAUGUAAUAAUUUUUGUUUGUUUGUUUGUUUA